GGUCCCUACGGGAGGCAGCAGUGGGGAAUAUUGCACAAUGGGCGAAAGCCUGAUGCAGCAACGCCGCGUGAAGGAAGACGGUUUUCGGAUUGUAAACUUCUGUUCUUAGUGAAGAAUAAUGACGGUAACUAAGGAGCAAGCCACGGCUAACUACGUGCCAGCAGCCGCGGUAAUACGUAGGUGGCAAGCGUUGUUCGGAAUAACUGGGCGUAAAGGAUGCGUAGGCGGUUAGACAAGUUA
rnacentral:rRNA from 1 species